rnacentral:lncRNA from 10 species
AAAAAAAGAAAGUCAACAUGUAACUACCAUUUUCCAAGUUAUUUGCUGGUUUUCAUUUCUUUUUUCUUUUUUUGAGAUGGAGUUUCGUUCUUGUUGCCCAGGCUGGAAUGCAAUGGUGCAAUCUCGGCUCACCGCAACCUCCACCUCCCAAGUUCAAGCAAUUCUCCUGCUUCAGCCUCCCAAGUAGCUGGGAUUAUAGGCAUAUGCCACCACGCCUGGCUAAUUUUGUAUUUUUGUAGUAGAGAUGGGGUUUCUCCAUGUUGGCCAGGCUGGUCUCGAACUCCCUACCUCAGGUGUUCCACCCGCCUUGCCCUCACAAAGUGCUGGGAUUACAGGUGUGAGCCACCACGCCCAGCCUGGUUUUCAUUUCUUAGCACUGUGGUAACAGACACAGGAGAUCAGAAAAGCAUUUUGCAGAUUUGAACAAAGCAUCCUUUAGGAGACCAGGGUUUUUCAUCAAGGGGAUUUCAGUGCCCCCCCUUUUUUUUUUUUUU